UACGAAGGGGGCUAGCGUUGCUCGGAAUCACUGGGCGUAAAGGGUGCGUAGGCGGGUCUUUAAGUCAGGGGUGAAAUCCUGGAGCUCAACUCCAGAACUGCCUUUGAUACUGAAGAUCUUGAGUCCGGGAGAGGUGAGUGGAACUGCGAGUGUAGAGGUGAAAUUCGUAGAUAUUCGCAAGAACACCAGUGGCGAAGGCGGCUCACUGGCCCGUACUGACGCUGAGGCACGAAAGCGUGGGAGCAAACAGG
rnacentral:rRNA from 1 species